AGCAACAACCAAAAAUAAAUUAACUAAACCAUCAAUCAAACCACUUUUAGAUAUAAACCAAAUAACCAUUAAACCAAUAAUUUUACAAGCAAUACAAAUACCAUCAUUUUUAACAUGCUUCUAAUCCAACUUCCAAAAGAAAAAAAAACAUUAAAAAAACACCAAUUCGAUCAUAGAUCAACCUCCUCUUCAUGCCACAAUUCCACGAUUACGCUUUCUUCGCCUGCACUACAACAUAAAGAUAUGCGUGAGUAUUAUACCAAAUAGUCAGUAAGAUGACCCCCAUGUACUACCUAUACACACAAGCGAAUUACACAAACCAACACUCAAUCAAACAACAAAAACAUCAGACCAUACAUAACAAGAACAAAACAACUCUUAAUCCAGCCUAGUGUCGACCGAUACCCUCCUGGUGUCUAUCUACACUGCCUCUUAAGAUACAGCAGAAUCGCCUCUUAUCAAUCCUGAAGAAUCCUUGCACCAUACACGAC
rnacentral:lncRNA from 1 species